UAUAAAAGCAGUCGCUACUCAGGGCUCCUCUAUCCACAACUCCUCACCUCUCCACUCCAGUGAACCGAGCCAACCUCCACUGCAGGAACAUGUCUUCCUACGGACAGCUGAUCAGCUCCCGCUGCUACAACCCCUGUGAGGUGACCUGUCCGCGGCCAUAUGCCAAUGCCUGGAACGAGCCCUGCGUGACGUCCUGCGGUGACUCCAGGGCCGUGGUCUACCCACCCCCGGUGGCCAUCACCUUCCCCGGACCCAUCCUCGCCUCCUGCCCCCAGGAGAGCUACGUGGGCACCUCAGAACCCCAGUGCAUUGGCGGCCCAUACACUGCCGGCGGCUACCUGGGGUACAGAGGCUCAGUGGGCACUGGGUACUCAUACCCCUCUUAUUCCAGCCAGCUCAACAGAUACCGCUACGGAGGCUGCGGGCCAUGCUAAAGCAGCAGGAAUAUGUGUGACAGAAAGGAAUAGCCAAGAAAUGGGGAACAAGAUUCAGAUUCAGGAAUGAGCAGAGGGACAUUGUUUCCAGAGGCACAAAACACCCACUGCUUCUCUAUGCUGCGGGUGCCGAGGGCGCUCAGGAGCUCUGAAAAUCUUUCCAGUGCAUGAAGAUCUCUUUUCUGUAAUACUCCCUCUCUUUACUAAUGAUAGCACUAUGCCCUUAUUCAGGUAGCAGAGCAGGUAUGCAAUCGUUCGCUACCCACUUUAUGACUAAAGUGGCGUAGAAGGAAGUUAGCAUCCACCACAAUGUGACUGUUUAUGCCAAGUUGUACCACCUGCUUAUGGCCUUCAGCUUUUAACAAAAUCCAUUUCAGCAUGUAAAAUGUAGAAU